UACAGAGGUCUCAAGCGUUGUUCGGAUUCAUUGGGCGUAAAGGGUGCGUAGGUGGCGUCGUAAGUCAGGUGUGAAAUCUCGGGGCUCAACCCCGAAACUGCACUUGAUACUGCGAUGCUAGAGUACUGGAGAGGAGAUUGGAAUUUACGGUGUAGCAGUGAUAUGCGUAGAUAUCGGGAGGAACACCUGUGGCGAAGGCGGCUUUCUGGGCCCUACCUGACGCUGAGACGCGAAAGCGUGGGGAGCGAACCGG
rnacentral:rRNA from 1 species